rnacentral:tRNA from 1 species
GGGGUUGUAGCUCAGUUGGCAGAGCACUUACAUGGCAUGUAAGAUGUCAGCGGUUCAAUUCCGCUCAACUCCA